UACGAAGGGGGCUAGCGUUGCUCGGAAUUACUGGGCGUAAAGGGCGCGUAGGCGGAUAGUUUAGUCAGAGGUGAAAGCCCAGGGCUCAACCCUGGAAUUGCCUUUGAUACUGGCUAUCUUGAGUUCGGGAGAGGUGAGUGGAACUCCGAGUGUAGAGGUGAAAUUCGUAGAUAUUCGCAAGAACACCAGUGGCGAAGGCGGCUCACUGGCCCGGUGCUGACGCUGAGACACGAAAGCGUGGGUAGCAAACAGG
rnacentral:rRNA from 1 species